GCAAGACCAGAAAAGAGUGAAGACCAGGUUUUCUUUUACUUACAUUGACUUUCAAAGCCCCUGAGAUACCGAGAUCGAUAGUUUCAUACUUGGAAACAGUAGCUUUUUAAUGGGGACAAAUGUGAUAGCCUGCACUACAAGAAUAAACAACUACAUGAAUACAGAGACUAGAUUGAAGUGAGCAUCUUUAGUGGUUUGAUUUGGCCUAUUUGGCUUCUGCUCACAAUUUUGCAAUGAACCUGGAGGUAAGAGAGAACAUGUGGCUGUUACAGUGAGUUGUGUGGGCUCCGAGGCACUUCUCUGUACUGCCAAGGGUUGGUGGUGAUUUACUGAACACAGUGUCUAGUUGGGUAUUGUGCAUCAGAACACAUGAUUGAAACUGUCCAGAGGAAUCAAUGUGAAUGAUGAGGAACACAUAGAAUGUGACCUGGGAAGAAAGGCUGACUCCUCCACUGAGUGUUUCUUCAGAGAUGACAGCAAAGGGGCAAGGAGUGUUUAAUUUCUCAAAACAUGCACAGUAAGGUAUUCUGAAGUGGAAGAGUUUAUUGCUUUUUUCCCCUUUACAGAGAAUGGGACAAGAAAUAGUGGUCUUAAACUGUGGAGAUUGGGAUUAAUGUGGAUUUGGUACAGUUCUGAACAGUAAAAGUAGCAAAAUGCCAUAACAAGUUGUCUGGGUGGUUUUGGAGACUUGACCAUUGGAGAUAGCUAGAAAAAUUCCUGUUGGGAAUAGAACAGGUGUCUGUGAUGCUUCUUGGAUACUUGGAGAGUUGGAGCACUCCUGGGAUCUGGUUCAGUUGCUGGCCUUUUCAGAAUGGACAGUCUGAGACAAUGCCAAAUUAGAGGCAAGUGGGUGCAAAACUAGAAAAUUUUAAAGAGAAACAGGUACAGCUUUUGAUAUCUGACUAUUGGUUUCUUUCUAUGGUACUGUGAAGCAGUCUAAUAUUGCCAGUGGAUUAGCUUUUAUCAACAAAAUAGCUGUUUCUGUUUGCUGAUACACUAAAAUAGAAUAUUUGUUUAGAAAGAAAAACUUUCUGUCCCUCCUUCCUUUUAUUUCUAAUAUUGCAAAACAAUUGAAUGUGGUCUCAAAAUGAAGAAGGGUACUGAUGGUGAAUCAUCUGAGGUGAAUCAUAAAUUGUUUCAUUCUCACCGGUAUAACAAAAAGAUAUUGAAUAAAUAUUUAUGGUAUAUGACAACUGCAUACCUUUUAUAUGAAGUUUGAAACCUGUUCCCUGUACUACUAAUUUGUGUAGGUCUCCUAAACACGGAAAUAGAACUACUGGUUAAAACUCUGUAUUUUGUCUGUCUUUUGUAGGAAAUAAGAUGACAUCAGUAUAUAUAUCCAUAGUAGGAUAUUGUACCAUAACAUAACAUAUUGUAGGGAGAUCACUAAUUUACUGCAGCAAUUAUAGAAAAGGAAACAGCAAAAUUCUGUUGAAAAGGCUGAAACUGAUUGUAAAGGUUCUCCUAAAGGAUUACAGCCCAUUGCCACUGGUCUUACGUGAAUAAGCCAACUAAGAUGGAACUCAUGCUGGCACAUGUGUCACUUCACUAUUUCACAUUCUGAAUCCAGCUGAAUGAUCCCACAUAAAUGUUGAAUGAGAUUCUUCCUCAGGUUGUUAAGACGCUGCUGUGACCAAAGAGGAUAGAUUUGUCAUUGUGAUGAUGAGGUAAUAAUAAAUUCUUUUGUGUUCAGAAUGUAUCCAAGCUGUGUGACUAAAAUACAUAGCAUUAGCUUCCCCUCCUGGCCAAAAGAAGGAAAUGAUCUUGGAGGCAAGAUACGCGUGAAUUGUUUAUCAUUUUUGUUUCUAUAUGCUAAAGAUAGAAAUUAUUUAUUAUAUAGCAGAAAUAGCACUUAAUUGCCACUGAGGGGGAAGGACAGUGCUGGUGAGACACAGUUUAUUGGAACCAUAAUAUAAUAAAGGAAUGAGAGAGGGUGACUUUUGGAAAAGAGUUCUUUUCUAAAUGAGGGCCUAAUUUGUAAACUAGAUCUUAAAAAAAAAAAAAAAAAAAGCAAAUUUUGAAUGGUAGAGUUCCUGGUGUCCGUGUUAGAUUCCUGUCAGUUGGUGCUAGAAACAAACAUUUUCCUGCAUUUUGUAUUCUAGAUGUUGAUUCCAAUGUAGCUGAAUCUGUUAUGGAUGUUACUUUUAUUUUGUAAUUUACCUUUUUUUUUUUGCUUGCUUGCUUUGUCUUAAAAUUUUAAACACUUAUCCUUUAUUUUCAUUCUGUGGCAUAAUAUUUUGUAGCAUUAGCAUAAGUUUUGUAAAUGCUGAUAUAUGUCAAUGCAAUGUAAAUGCUGAUUUAUGUCAGAUAUACUGACAUAAAGGUGUUUAUUUGAUGGCAUAGAGGAACAAUGCACAACACAAACUGACAUUUUUUAAAAGCCAUUUCUAAGUUAGAUUACCAGCCCUUUGCAAUGUUGUGUUACUACUGUUUUGGAUAAGUUGAUCUCAUAACAUUGAAUCUUAGACAAAGAUGAAAGAUUCUUCUCUAUUUGCUAUGGUUGCCUGGAAAGGAGACAUUUACAGUGCAAAAUUUAGUGAUCUUAAGAAGACUGAAGCUUUGCAUAAUGUGGGCCUAUUGGAGAGUAAGCAUACGAGCACAAUGUGCAUUGCACUUACAAGGAACCAAAAGUACUUGCAAGAUAAACAAUAGCCUCAUGUUUAAGAUGUUUACAUGGACUGCAGGAAUCAGGCUUACCUGUUUCUAUUGGGAAUUUGGCCUGAACUGCAAAUAUUUAAUUUUUCCUAUAUCUUGGAUUGUGCUAAUUUCAUACCGAUCUAAGGAAUUUUUUUUGCAUACUGGAGUGGGAGAAGAAGGCAGGAUUUAGUCCCUUGUAAGCAUCAGCCUUUGGUACAAACUUUGUCAAGUCUGAAAGAACUUGGAAAUUGCCACCAAUUAAUGAUUUCCAUAGGCAUAAAGUUGCUGGGAAUGAGGAUGCUUUAUAGAAGUCAAGCACCAGAUUUUACUAUGCUUACUGUAUUUGAAUAUGCUUGCUAUGAUUUAAUUGCUAUGCUGAAAAUAAUCAGGAGGCAAUUAAUGGUUUCCUUUCCAGCUGUGCAGUGAUGCCCUGUGUGAGAAAUAUUUUAAUAUCAUGACUCACUGGAGGCUGUGGAGGAAAAUGUACUCCUUAAACUAUUUUUUUUUUAAUUAAUACAAAGAAAAAAUGAUAGUAUUUUAUGGGCAAUAUUUUACUGGCAAGUGACUUAGCUUUCCUGGCUUAUAAUUCUUAAGAAUGAAUCAGUCUUGGACAACAUAAUUUAGUUUGCUUUUACAAGCAAACAUAAGAAAACAUAACUGCUUCUAGAAGAUAAACUUUUUAAUCUUUUACAUUUCAUUUAAUGCCAGGCAGUUCAUUGUGAACAGUUGGAAAAACUUCUGUAUGAUCAGUAGGAAAUUUUCCUUUAGAGGGUGUGAUGCAAUUUCUUAUUAACGUGCAGUUAUAGCUCAGUUAAUACCAAAAAGACAACUUGAAGUCACUGCCCUAAAAUUCUGUGAAGAAAUUCAACAGACAGCUUUAGCAGCUCUCACAGUGUUACCGCUCCUUUCUAGCAUGGGUACAGUGACUCUGCUCAACCAUUAGAGUCGUUUCCUGUUUGUAGGUUGCUAGUUGAGAAAGCUGGGGUAAGGCUUUUGUCCCCCAGACCUAACCAAAGGGCUGACUUGUGCUUCUGUCUCAAAGGCUUUACACAGUAAACAUCUGGUUGUGUAACUGUUAAUGAGCCUUUGGGGAUUUGGAGAUUGUUUCUUUUAGGCUCUUUCCUUAACUAAGUCACAAACAUAUCAUGAGCCAAGGCUUUGGGUUUUGCAUUUAAAUGGGUGAACUUUCUGAUGCGAAUGUUUCCUGCUGUAUUUUUUUUUCAGAUGUCCAAUUUUCUUUAAAAUGAUGCAGAAGGAUUUUUUUUUUAAGUUCUGAAACGGUUCUUAUUCGAAGUUUUAUGCUCUUCACUGAAAACAAGGCUGGUAAUCGGAAGAUGCCUUGCUUAGUGUUGCUCUGUGAAGCUCAGAUUAGUUUAGUCUUCUCUGUGUGCGAACUGGAAUGAAUUGAGGACUGUCCUCUGAAACAAAGAACAAGCAGUCAUUCAGUCACUGCAGUUUUAGUUUGUACUGAGUAGGGACUACUAUUAUUCUGUAACUUACCUAUACCUGACACAUUGGCAGGAUUUAACUUGCACCAAAGAUUAAGGCUGGCUUGUUGCUUGUGGUUGGCAGUGGUAGGUUGCAAUAGACAACCCCUCUUGGUGCAUUGGGAUGUAGUGCAUUUGGCAGCUGUGAAAGGGGAAGAAGUACUGUGUUGCUGUCUCUGGGAGACAGGUGUAUAGUGUUUGGGGAAGAAAGCUUGAUAGUUUGGAUGCUUAGUAUGGAUCUCUGUUAUGUCAGCCAAAAUGUUUAAUGUGGUCUAAGAAGUAUGGUUUUAUUUUUCUUGAACUAACUAUAUUAGCAAUAAAACCACUAGUCUGGUUGUAAUCAUACUAGCCAAAAGCAUGCAUUUGCAAUUAAACAGGGUGAACUAUGAGAGGCAGAAGGGAGAAAAGUUGGAGCACAUGAGUGAGAGAGAAAAACAGACUUUUAACACAGUACUAUAAGUGCAGUGUGAGUAGGCAGUGUAGGAAUUGUCACUGAAUUUGUUUUUCAUAAUGGGAAGAUCAUUUAGUAAGAUGGCAUAGCAGAGAAAGGGAAUGGCUGAGCCUUCUUAUAAAUAUCCCUCCCAUCCUUGCAAGGGGAGAAUGAAGUGGUGUGGAAUAAAUGAAUAAAGCCUUAUCUCUGCAUAAACAUCAUUUCUUGUAACAUGAAUAUAAUUAUCUUGUAACCAUAACCAGUACUAAGUGUAGCCUUGCUGAACUGCUAAACAUCUAGAGAGGGGGACCAAUCCAGGUAAUUCCUACAUAUAGCAAAAGUACAUCUUCAUACACUCAGGAAAAAGCUGGUGGGUUUCUGGCUGGUGCUGUUCAUGUAAUUAUGCAUCUUGAUGUAAUUUUUUCUCAGCGUUUUUCAUUUACAUCAUUGAGGAUUUCACUUUUGUACGUGCCUUUGCAGCAUGUAGCUUAUAGCUGUUUCCAUGAAUGUGUUAAAUGCUGACAAUAAUGUGCACAAAAAUUGCUUCUGGACUUCUUAAGAAGGAGAUGAGCAGAGCCGUGGAAAUCUGAGCUCUUCCAGAGAAGGGAAGAACAAAAGGAUCCAGCUGAAACUGCAUGGGGAAGCCGAAUUAAAUGGAAUGUAAAUUUGCAUGGUAGAAUUAGGCAAAGAUGCUAAUGGUAUUACUGCUUGUGUUGCAACAAGUUACAGAAGACUCUUUUUUUUUUUCUUUUAUUUUGGGAUCCAGUUGCAUAUUUUGUUCAAAGAUAUGUGCAUCCCACACCCCUCUACUCCAUUUCAUGAUGCUUUUUAACAACUUGUAGCAGGACUGUUAUAGUACUGGCUCAGAACUAUGACUGUAAUUUUGUAAGUAAUCAACAGUACAUGUGUGCCAAGAGAGCUGUGUAUGUUGGAGGUCAGAAAGCACAAAACAGUGGUUCUAACCAAAAUGUGUUGGAGUGGGUGUAAUAAAGACCAAAAAGAGGCAUGUCUGGUCAUGUACAUUAAAAGACCACAUGGGAAACAUGAGGACGCUAUACUGGGACAGAGAGUAGAUCAAGAAGAUGAAAUAUGGUCCAGCUUCUAUGGAAGCACUUAGUCUGUUUUAUGUGAAGUCAGAGUAGGAUAAGAUCAGAGAGGCAAGGAAAGUGCACAAUUGCAGGAGACCUGUGCAAUCUCUGUUCCAGUGCUCUGAGAGAACAGGUGAAUGUAAACUGCAGUGCAAUACAGAGUCUGUCUGACGUGGGGAGACUGUCUAAAACUGGAGUUUAGGAGAGGAGGAUGAAAACAGCUCACUUAAAUACUGGUUCAACCAGGAAAUCCCAAUUGUUCAAGUGUCUUGAAGUGGUUCUUCCAGGAAAAGAAUUGUAGAAUACACCUGUGGUUUCUCAUGGUCAUAUCAGAAUGAAGUGCAGCUGCUGGCAUAGAACACCGCAUGUUCUGAACUGCGGAGUGCACUGUUUAAUUCUGGUCCAUAAGAUGACUGUACACCAAAAACUGAACAUUCUCUCCUUCACUUCUCUGAUUUCUUGAACGUUUAAAAUGCGGUCGUUGAGCUUAAUGAAUACAAGGAAGAAGUAUAAACGACUAAAUAGUCGGGCUUAAGCAUUUCUUCUCGAAGAAACAUGUAAUGGUCGUGCAGAAAUUCCGAUUAGCCGUUUGCAAGACGUCAGGAGUUGAAUGCGGUUUUGCAGUCCCCUCCACCGUCAGCAGCUGCGGGGCUCUGACUGGGCGCCGUUAGUGUCUAACGGCCCCUCACGCGCCAUCCCCGUGCCGGUCGUAACGGCUGCGGCUGAGCGCGAGAAGCGACGCGCGCGCCGCGCUCCCUCAGAGCAGCCCCUACCGGGCGCCGCCACGUUUCCCGGCGCCGGGGCGGACUCUGCUCGGGAGUUCCGGCACGGUAUGAAGGCGUCACUUCCCCGGGGUUGGGGCGGCCGCCGGUAGGUGCUGCGGGCUGUCGCCGGUGAGGGGACGGCGGGUAGCGGCGCGGCGCUGCGGUGUGCGCGCCCCUGAAGGGCUGGCGCGUGGCGGUGGUCCUUCACCGACCGUCGGUCCCAGAGGCGGGAACGGAACGGCGUGGGCGCCGUCCUGACCUGCGGGAACGUCGCCGAGAGGCAAGCGGUUGUGGGUGCCUCUGGGGCUCGGGCCGCUGCUGGCUGGGCUCGGUCGGAGCAGGCUCACAGCGUAUCCGUGCUAUGCUAAAUGCUGCUAAACGUUCUCGUGUCGUGGCCGUGCUUUGUCUGGAAAUAACGCGUCGUUAGUUUGUAAAGCCCUGCCCUCAUCAAAGUAAAGCAUGUGCCGGCUUAACGUGUGCGAGGGUGGGUUUGCUGUGCUUGUUCCUAGGUCUUUAGGCUGGUCUGUGCGCUGCUGGAGGCUGUUGUACUUUGAAGUGCUUUUUAAUUAUCUGAUUAUUCAGCAAAUAAUGCCUUCAUUUGUUACGUGCGGUAAUAAAGUGAUGUGAUGCUAUUGAUGAUUCCAUAGCAUUGUUUUUGUCCUUGUUUUGUUUUGUUUUUUCCAGUGGGAGUAGAGAAUGAUCUUUUUUGCUUAAGAUGGUAGGCUGAGAUGAAAUAGCUGAUGUGUGCCUGCGUAUGUGUUUUAUCCACAUCCUCACGAGCACAUUUGAGUUCUUAGAAGGAAGUAAAAACGUUUUCCUCUCUCCUUAGGGUUUCUGCAAACCGAAGUGCAGUGAUAUAUCUCUGGUACUCCAAACAAAAUGAAGAUCCCUUCUGUACUGCUGAGAUUCCCUCAUCGUUAUUUCUCUAAAAGAACUUACUUCAAGAACUUGACUUGCAUUUCCAGAUCAGAUUUCCUGUGCAUUGAGUCUCUUACACCAGUGCACCUACAUUGUUCAAAACAGAUGUGUUUGUCAAAGUGUUUGAGCAGAGAGCUGUGUUACCAGAGUGCCCCUGAGCAGGAAGCAGAAGGGCUUUCCAACAGAGAAAAAGGACUUAUAGACAGACUUUACAAUGGGCUCGUCCAGGGUCACAGAGCCUGUUUAGCUGAAGCCAUUACACUUAUAGAAUCAACUCAGACUAGGAAAAAGAAAGUAGCCCAGGUGCUCCUUCAGAAGGUAUUAUCCUACCACAGGGAACAAGAAAAGUUAAAUCAAGGAAAGCCGCUUGCCUUUAGAGUGGGGUUAUCUGGUCCUCCUGGUGCUGGGAAAUCAACUUUCAUUGAAUGCUUUGGGAAAAUGCUUACAGAAAGAGGACACAAAGUGUCAGUGCUGGCUGUUGACCCGUCCUCUAGUACAAGUGGUGGUUCUUUACUGGGUGAUAAAACGCGGAUGACUGAGUUGUCAAGAGACAUGAAUGCAUACAUCAGACCAUCUCCAACCAGGGGGACAUUAGGAGGUGUAACAAGGACUACAAAUGAAGCCAUUCUGCUGUGCGAAGGAGGAGGCUACAAUGUUGUUCUUGUGGAAACUGUAGGUGUGGGACAGUCAGAAUUUGCUGUGGCUGAUAUGGUUGAUAUGUUUAUAUUAGUGCUGCCACCCGCGGGUGGUGAUGAAUUACAGGGUAUCAAACGGGGUAUAAUUGAGAUGGCAGAUCUAGUUGCUAUAAAUAAAGCUGAUGGUGAUUUAAUUGUGCCUGCACGGAGAAUACAAGCUGAAUAUGUUAGUGCUAUGAAACUGCUUCGCAAGCGUUCGAAGGUUUGGAGACCAAAGGUAAUACGUAUCUCUGCCAAGACUGGAGAAGGGAUCUCAGAUAUGUGGGAUAAAAUGACAGAAUUUCGCGACCUCAUGCUCACAAGUGGUGAGCUGAUUGCCAAGCGACGGAAACAGCAGAAAGUGUGGAUGUGGAAUCUCAUCCAAGAAAAUAUGUUGGAACAUUUCCGGAGUCACUUGGCAGUCAAAGAUAAGAUUCCACUUCUAGAAGAAAAAGUUCUUAGUGGUGUCUUGUCUCCUGGACUGGCAGCUGACCUGCUGCUGAAAGCAUUCAAGGAUGGUCUCUAAUCAUUAUAUUCUACUGUGUUCUUGCUAAUUUCUUCAUGUAAAAUUAAAUAUUAAAUAUAGUUUUUGUAUGUGUGAUUUCAAAUGUUUCACUACAAUAGACACUAAUGGAAUACAUAUUUAUUGGUAUUAGUAUGUAUUAGUACUCUACCAAAAAAAUACUGAGCAAAAAAUGCUGUAGGAUUCUGUAUAUGCAAAGCUCAUGUGCAUACACACUCAGAGACUACUACACAUGGUAUUUGGUCAACUAUACUUUUUUUGAGUCUGUCCUCAUCAAGGAUUUGUUGGUCAAAAAUGUGAGCCUCUGUCAAAAUGUGACUGGCUUUGAAAGGGUGAGUGAGAGGUUGGUGCAGCAGUUUCAUUGUGAGACUGUCUUAGAGGUGAUAAACACUUCUACUUUCUGUUCUGAUUUACUUUUUUCUUCCUCAUGAGUCUCUGCAAGAACAUUGGGCCUGCUGGUAGCACCUGACUGGUGUCUUAGUUUUAAAUACAUUGUAUGCAUAUAAAAAGAGUUCAAUCACUGUUGGGAAGCUAUAGCUAUAUAUGUAUAUGAUAUAUAUAUAUAUAGCUAUAGCUAAUACUUAUUGUAAGCUGCAAGAGGAGAAUUGUACCUAUCAUAGAUUCUAACUGGAUGUUUUAAUACAAAAGCACAGUUUAAUUAGACAUUUUAAAAUACACACAUAUGGAACAAGUGCCAUCCACCAGGUUUUUAAUCACAGCUCUUUUUAUACUAGAAUAAUUGAUCUCUUACUUGGUCUUAUUUGACUGAAGUAAGCUUUUCGUAUUCAAACAAAAUGCCUACUUUUCUCCUCUCUUGUAGAUGACAUGACUAUUUAGGACUAAAGUACUUAAGAGCUGGGGUUCUUUUUUUAUUUAUUUUUUAUUUUUUUUAAGGUAGAUUUCUCUUGGGAAUGCAUUUGGAGGUAUUCAUGAACUGGAAAGCAAGGUUAUCUUUUCAGUAUGAAGAGUAAAAUAGGAAAAUGCUGAUUUCUUGAGGGCAGACAAAACAUUAAAUUAAUAGGAGUUUUAAUGAGUCUACUAUUGCUUAUAUGAAUUAACAAAAGGCAUUAGGUGCUAUUUUCUGUAUGCAUACUAUAGUAUGUAAGAUAGUGGUGUGGGGUUUUGUUUGUUUGUUUGUUUUUGUUUUUUAAAUUUAAGUUCAAUAUUACCUGUUUGGAUUCCUAACAAGUGUGCAUUUUGCAGAGCAUUUGUGUUCUGGCAUCCUGAGUCUAGAUUUCUCAAACAAUUCUAGGGUAGCAAUGACUUGGUUUCCUUUGGUUCUAUUUUUUUUUUUCCUUCCUAUUUUUUUUUUUUUUUUUCUUCUGGAGACAUUUUUUUCUCUUCCCCGUGUUUCAGUUGUUAUAUUUUGUUCUCAGCUAAGUCUGCUUUAUCUUGCUAGACCUCUCUACUUCCUAGUUUUCACUCCUUCAUAGGUGUAAUGCAACUAUCAGAAAAGAUUAAUGAAUGAAAAUGCUGAGGAUUUUUUCCCUUUGCUUUGUCUUAUUAAGUAUUUAAGUGCUUAUUUAAGUAGCAUAAAUUAAACGAUAUAGAAAUAUCCAUGAAGCUGCUAACAUUUCAGUUACUUCUUCCAUUGUAUGAGGGUUUAUGUUUUGUUGUCCAUAUAUCUUACUCUGAGAAUAUGAAGAAUGAACAGAAAGUAAAAUGAAACUGCAACGUAAAGUAAAAAUAUUUCAUAAUUUUUAGCAAGGAUCCUUUUGAAUUUUUGUAGUGAAAUACCAACAAAGAGCAUUGUGGGCUUCUAUAGGACAUGAAGCCAAAGCAUUUCUUUAUUAAAACAUUUGGCACCAGUGUAGCUGAUAUUAGUGAUUUCCACCACAUAGAUUGUCAGCACUUCAGUAUUCUAACACCACUUAUUUCUUAAACUUUGCAUCCCCAGUGAGUGAUUUGGGAUUACUGCAAUCAUUUAUGUAGAAGUACCUGGAGAGGAGUGUUUAAGGGGUGGCUGAAGAACAGGGCCUUGAUUAUUGCCUUUCUGCAUUAGAAACUGUAAAAGUGCUACUUUUUUUUUUCACUUUAAAAAAAAAAAAAAAAAAUUAAAAACAGUUUAGGUCUCUAUUGAACGUGACAAAAAGUACCCCAAACCAAAAGCAAUGUCUUUCAUCCUCUCAGUUUUAAAAAUUAACAAUAUUGUGAUGGUACCUAGUAGCAGAAAAGACGAAUGGAAAAUGAAUGAAUGACAGCAGCAGUAUUUUAACUGGUAAGUGCUCAACUUUUUGAUAGUCCAUUUGUUUCAGGUGACAGUGUUUAAAGUGACCUUGCUUGUACUUAUCUGCUAGAUCAACUCUUGUUGGUCAUUAUUUUUUUUUUUUUUUCUGGUGUCAGAGACUGCUUUAUUCUUUGUCUUCUACAUGGGAACUGUCAGGCAAGUAAAAUAGAACUUGUGGCUUUGUUUAACUGAGGGCUGUUGUAGUAGAAUAGUUAUUCAAGAUUUGUUUUCUGGACCCAGAUCUAUGUAUCUACUCAAGCUAUGGGUCAUUAUUUUCUUGUUUUGUUGCUCCUCUUAAAGUAUAGUUAAUUUGCUAAUGAACACUUCAGAUAAUGCAGUGGUUUAAGCAAAUUCUACUUUUCGUUCAGCUGCCUUUUCCUCUUAAAUGAGAAGAAUUAGAUUUGUUGUCUUGAUGUGUUUGUUUGUGCCUCAUGCUUCAGUAGACAGAGAAAUGCUUCAUGCUGACAAGGAUCUGCAGAAAUGGCAUAGUAGGUAAGGGUCCUUGCUUUGUUUUUCUGUAAGUCCUCUACCAAAUUGAAAACCUGUACUGCGUGAGCUAUGAGCUGAGCCUCGCAUGUGGGAAUUAGAUUGUUUUCUAGCUGGUAAAAUACAGCCACAAAAUGUUUUGAAGCCAACUAUUCGUUUAGAUGUGCUGUUUUCUUUAUGCCCUCACUGACAUAAACAAAAUGACGAAGCGCAUUGUGUUCAGAAGGACUGCCUAACUUGAGCUGGUAGGCUAGAAUUUAGUAAACAAUUCAGUAUUUCCUGAGAUGGGAAGUACAGCUCAUCAAUUCUACACCAAGCAGUGUAAAGAAGUCAUAUAACUGUAUGAGAAAAUAGCAAGAUUGCUAGAGAACACAAUGAGCUGUUAAAUUGUUAUGGGAGGUGAGGAACAAACUUUCCAGAUGCAUAAACUCUUGUGUCCUAUCAAGUCUUGCAGUUAUAUCUAAGUGUGAAACUUUUCCCCAGGUCCCUGUAUAAUAGAUGUUGGUGCUGUUUCACAGCUGGAAAAACAAGUGUGAGAUAAGUGAUUUACUCAGACCUCUGAAGCAGGUCAGUAGAGUAUAAGGGUUACAGUUCAGUAGUCUUUAUUCUGAGCCCCAUGUAUAUUUACGUCUGUGUUACUUAAGGUUGGAAAAAUGCUCUUAGCAAGUUCAUGUUCCCAGUGUGACUUAUUCCUUUCAUAUCUAAUCUCUCUGUCUUCAGCGACAGGACACAGUGACCCCUUCAUGACUACUGUUCUGCAGUAAUGUCCUACUUUAAAUUGUAGAAAACUUCUCUCUGAAAAUUAGUCUGCCUUCACCUUUUUGUAAUUUCAUGGCUUCCUGUAUAUAUGCUUGCUCAGUUUUUUUGCUCUCCUUGAGUAUGUUGCUAAUAUAUCAAAUUGCAGUGUUUUACAUUUCUCUUCAUGAGUUUUGAGAUCUCUUGGGGGAGGCUGAGCAAAGCUAAAGGAUACACAUGAACUUUUUAAAAAAAUCAGUCUCAUGUAGUAUCGUUCCUAAAGUUUUAUUUCUUAGAGUUACUUGGCAGGACAUAAUUAUUGAUCUAGUCUGUUCUGAUACAAACAUACCUAUUUCUUCUUUUCUUGCUCAUUGUUAUAUUGUUCCCUUCCUGAAUGCACAGUCAAGAUAUAGCAUUAUCUGUGAGUUAAAAUGAGAAACGUUCUUCCAGAGCUUAAUGCUUCCAAAACUAUUCGUGCUGGACAUUUUGAAGCAGAUCAUUGGAGAUAUAAUUGAACAGGGGUAGAUAAAAGGUAUAUUUAAAGAGAAAUCAGUGGGUUUCCCUGGAACAUACAACUUGAACAAUCUACAGUGUACAACUUGAUACAGGGUUCCUCUUGCAAAAAGGAGAUCAGGUACUCAGUGGUAAUACCCUUAUAGUUUUAAGCUCUGCUCCACUACUGAAACACUAGAACAUUAACAACAUUUGUGGAUUGAGAAUAUAUAUAUUUUUUUUUUUAAGGGAGAAAUUGUUAACCAGUUACAGUACAUUUUUAGAAUGGAAGUAUGAUAGGCAUAUUCUGUUUCCUGCUGCCACACCAGAGAAUGGUUCAGCUGAUGAAGAAACAAGCAGUAGAGGAGCUGACGUUCACAGUAGUCUAGGCAGAAGAAGCAUCAAGGAGAAGCAAUCAGGAUGUCUGUUCUCUUUUGAGAGCAUAAGGAUUAUAGUCAUUUCACUGGCGAUCCUCACAAACUGAUGUGAUACACACAGCAUUUGCUGGGUGAGGCUUACAAAAAAGAGUGGUCAGGUUUUGGAAUGGGCUGUUCAGGGAGGUGGUAGAGUCACUGUCCCUGGAGGUGUUAAAGAAAUGUUUCGAAGUUGUACUAAGGGAUUUGGUUUAGUGGGGAAAUAUUGGUGGGUGGUUAGGCUGGAUUAUUUUGGAGGUCUUUUGCAACCUUGGUGAUUCUAUGAUAAAUUCCCUUUUCGGUUUUUUGGAUUUGUUAAGAGGAACUAGUCUAAUGUAGAGGGUUAUACUUUGGAACUAGGUGAUUUUAUUUGUAAUCUGAUUGUUGACUUGCAACAAGAAAACAAAAGCUUUACUUUUCAGAACUUUUUUUUUCAGUUUCCCUUCAUGCUGAAUUUCAUGUAUUCUUCCUUAAAAUACUGUGACAAGGUGGUUUAUCUGCAGUAUGCUAAUUACUUUCAGUGUCGUCUUUUUCUCUUAUGCUUAGGUCUUUCCCUAGUAGAGUAGUGAAAAAACAGCUUGUUCAAUUAUUGCCUUUUAAAAUUAUUUAGAUAAUCACUGAUUGGCUUUAACCAGUGAUUAGCUUUAUGAGUAACAUUAUUUUUGUUUUGCUUCUUAUAUUGAAAGAAACCUACACCUACAGAUUCUCGUGAUUAUGCUGACUCGCAGUGUGGCUGUGAUAGCUGAGGAUGCAUAAUAAGUCAUCAGGAAGUCUACUUCUGUGACUGGAUCUUUGAUAAGAAGAGUUGAGAUACUUAGCAGUUUAAGUGCAAGAUGAUUGGUUUGAGCUUGUCAUGCCACGGCAGUUUGUUGGCCUGCCCUCCGCGAGAGUGCAGCAAGAAGAAGCAAGGUACAUGCACCUCUGUGAGUACUGCUGAAGUGGAAGUUCUCUGGCUUCCAGCGUUUGCGCAGUAAAUUCAAUGUCAACAUGAACAGACUGCAGAUCUCAGAAGAGUUAGAGGUAAAUAACCUUUCUUUUUGAGGUUUCUGGAGUGAGUUGCAAAGCCGAGGGAUUUCUUUGAGUUUUUGCCCUGUCAUGAAUUGGCAGGUGGCUUGGGAGGAGGUAGUCCUUGAUCAUCUGGCAGUGCCAACAAUGAGCUUUGAACUAUAUAAGCUUUUGGAAGCUAGGGGAUGUAUCCCGUGAAGACUUAAGAGUCCUGUCCUUUCUGUGGCUGCCGAUCUGCUUUAUUUUUAUUUGGUUAUUAAAAGACAAGUUAGGUGUCUCAAUCCCUCUGUUAGUGUAUCCCAGGAAGCUAGAAAAAAAAACAUGACUCCCCAAGGAAAAAUAAAUUCUGAAUUAUACAAAAGAACGCCCCCACCCAUUUUCUUUUCCUUUCCCAAAUGUGGAGUAAUCUUGAAGUAUGCAAAUAAGAGCCUGGAUCUUGAGAUGUUAUUGAUUAGCUGACAGAAAGCAGUGACGAUUCUAGUAUGAUUUCUGCUGUCAAUAGCAUGUGUACAAAUUGUGAAAUUGGCUGUUACGGUGACAAAAAAAUCUGGUAGAAAAGAAGUUGUUAUGGAAAGUUCAGGAAAACCACUCUGUACAAAGGAUUUGGGGAGCUGAAUUCAAAGGCAGUCAGUCAGAAUGUGGUUGGUAGCACUCUUCAGGAGCCACAAAUUCUACUCCACGGGAAAUUCCUGUAUCUUUCAAAACUUGUCUAACAUAAAGCAUUGCACUGGAAGAAACUUCUAAGUCAUCCCAAUUUCUAGAUUAUUUCCUUCUUCUUCUGAAGUUUUAAUCAGUAGCAUUUACCUUGAGAGCAGGAUACUGGCAAGAAUUGAGGAACAGAUGGGUCAAUCUAGCGGGGUAAAUCCUUUUGCCACAUAUAAACGCCAGUUGUGAGCAGAGUGAGCUUGUCAUGUGAGAGCUGAGGUCCAGUGGAGAACGCAGUGAUGAUUGCAGGUGAGAAAUGACCUCGUGGUCUGUCUGUGGUGAAAGUAAACAGAACGGGACUGUCUAGUUUGAGUGUCUGCAGUAGGCUGCUAUAAAAUAGCUUGAGUGAGGCUAAUCAGGAAGAAUUUUUGUAAUGCAAGUACUGAGGGGGCAGUUUACUAUCUUGGGUUGCAGGCUUGCAGCAAACAACGUACACAUUGGGAGGGAGAUUACAUGUAAAUUGUGGAACUCAGUGCUGGAGAUGUGAAUAAAGAAAAGACCAAACCGAGAGCAGGACAGUCCUGCCUCUGUAUCAUAAGUACUUGGGCAGCUUUAUUAGGAAGACCUCCGUUAUGAAUUACUGUAGCGACACCAAAGGAAACUUAGUAAACUACAUACAGCUCAGAAGAAAAUAUGACCAGGUUGUUUUUUUCCCUGUUCAAUUCUUUGUUACACAAGUUGAGACAGGCUAUGAUUGCCCUGGAGAUGGAUCUUCCCAGCACAUGUGCUGCUGUCACUGCAGCGUGCCUGUGGAGCAGGCAGAGCUCAGCAGCAAGCGCUGAAAUCUUCCAUGCAGGACCUAGUACUGGGCUUACUGACAUAAAGCAGAACUACUGCAACUGCUGCAUGAAGGUGCUUUAAACAGUUUGAAUAGCUGGAGGACUGUUCUUCCUGGCUCUGUCUCGAUCUUAGCGAAAUCGGUCACUUUGAAUGAAACUUGACUGGCAAAAAUACAGUCUUGGCACAGUAUCAUCAUAUAAUUGAAUCUUCUUUAUUUUUAAUCGAAAUGUCAGCUUAAAAGAUUCAGUGCUUAUUUUUAAAUUGCAUUAACGUUAUAUUCAGAUCUUUUCAUAAAGUUCUAGGUGUGCGAUUGCAUUAAAAAUAGGUAGCUAGAUAUAAAAACAUGAAGCCUUAAUACUUGCUUAGUAAACAUUCAGAGUGCAAACAGACACCACAGAUAACAUAUGCAAAUAAAGAUAUUCUGGUAUAUUUUAAAAGUGUCACAGGCAUGAGUGACACACAUCAGGCUAUGCAUAUUAUUUCUGAAUCACACUGAUGGAGUGUGCACUCUUGCCCUUAUUUAUUUUUACUUAUAUUCCCAUGCCAUUUAUAGUUUUUUCCUUCAAUUUUACAGAAGAAAAGUUAGCAUUAAUUUUAUUGCUAAAACAACUGCUACGUUAACUGUAAUGGAAUGCAAUAGUAUGCUGUGUACCAGAAAAUCUAGAUGUCGGGAAAAUGUUAAUUCCUACAAUACAAGAAAUGCAAAGUAUGUAUAAUUUAUCAUAAUUUAUUUUGCUGGUUCUAGCAAAAAAAUCUAUAUUAAUCUACGCACACAGUUUUAGAAGAGUUAGUCAUUCCUACAGGGGAGCCAAGCAACUUUCUGCUUUCUCCUCAAGCAAUUGAGGUUGCUCUCAGUAAUCAGACAAGCUCUGUGCUUGGCACUACACAGUUUGAGAUGCGCACUGGGAUGGGGGUGUCUGAAGCUGUAUUAGUCAGUGCUGGACACUGCAUUGGUAACAUAGCUGUCACAAGUUUAGCAGCUUGCCUUUUCUGAACUGGGGUUAGAGGAGGCUGACGUGGUUAUUUGUGUCAAUUUUUGGCUGCUUAAGGAGGUAAUGAGAGCAAGCCAGGGAAAACAUGCUCAUACUCAUUCAUGUAAUUAUGCAUAAAUAGUUUCUAAAGUCCUACUCAAAUAUGCACGAGAACAUUAGUUAUAUCUUUGUCCCUCCCAACUGGCAUCCUGUUAAAUCUGUUAAAAAGUAUAGCCCACAAUCUAAUGUGUGAAUGAAAAUUACAGUCUUAAAUAACAGACAAGGGAAGAAUCAAGAUAGCAUUUUAUUUAUUUGUUUAUUUUUGACCAGCCAGAAAGCAAGCCUUAUUUUUGGUUUUGGUCACAUUAGGCUGUGCUGAACAUUGGCAUGAAGCAGUUCAGUGAUAGCAUUUUUCUAUUCUUUAUUUAAACAGGCACCUUCCCAGAAGAGAAACAGUCAAAAUCUGCAGUUUCCUACGAAAUGCUGUCUGAGAACUGCUGAAAAAGAAGGGCCAGCAAGAAAAAGACCAUCAUCUCUUCUUGAGCAUGACUUCUUAUCCUCACGUCAAAAUUAGAGAAGCCUUUUCAUCAUAUAACAGCAAAAGGAGGAAGAGUGGAUUCAACACAUGAGCUGCUACCUGCACCGCAUAUUCUACAAGGUACUGAUAGGAAGCCUGAAAAUUAGUACUCCAACCCAGUAGAAAAACAAGAACUUUUCAGUUCAUUGGACCUUCAUACGGCCCCAACUGAGGGCAAAAGGCAAUCCAAGUAUGUUUAAUGCUAACAUUAAUUUAUCUGAGGAUACUUUUUAUCUAAUGCAAACUUAGAUUUCCCCCCCCCCCCCACUUAUUACAAAGGCAUUCUUUUAAGAUGUUAGGUAUUUCUGCAUGUUCAGUGGGACCUCUGCUUAACCAGAGCUUUCCUUUUCCACUUGAACUGUUAAUAUCUUCCCCUCUUUUCUGUGCAUCUUGUCUUGUAGGAAUAUACUUUUCCUCCCCCACAUCAAGCCUAAAAUCUGUUCAAGGUGAAAUUAGAGGAAGAAAAACAAAAAGGAAACGAGGGAUAUAGCCAACCUUUUUAAUUAGAGUAUAUUGUACUUCCAAACUGGAUACACUAGAAAUUGGCAAUGCAACAUAAGAUGCAAAGGAAUAUACCAGUUACUGUCAAAAUGACCCUGUACAGCCUUAUAAUGCAAAAAGCUUUAUACAAUACAAACUUUUAAUAAUGUACACAGACCUUGACAGAAUGAUAUUUGAACAUAAUACACCAAAUUAAAAAAAUACAGAAGAAAGAAAAAAGUGCUGAGAACUUUAACUGAAGUACUUAAUGGAAAAACACACUAGCCUUCAUUAAAGAAUGCAUAGGGAUAAACUAUUAUGAAAUUAGCUUUAUGGUGGGGGGAAUUUUUCAGAACUGUUGGUCUUUAAUAGGUAGGGGAUAUCUCUGGAGAACAUUCCUUUCUUUAGUCUUGAACUGCUAACCAAUUAUGUUAAUAUGCGUGAGCUCUGAUAAAUACUGUAUUUUUUUUUCUUAAAAAAAUAAAAACCUCCUAACACACUUUUCCUUACAGAGAAAACUUCUAUGACGUACCAGAAAGAAUGAAUUUAUCCUUUCCAAAGUGCUAAACAAAAUUUCCAGGUAUAUUAAACAUUACUAUGUCAGGUACUGAUACGACGGAAGGUUGUUGAACACGUGGCAUUUGUGUGCCGACAGCUCAUUCUUGGAACUUCCAGCCCUAAUUAUAUUGCAGUUUGGUUUACAGAAAGCAUCCUAGUAAUAUCUGUACUUCCUCCUAGACAGCUGUACUUUCCCUGUUGGUCUGAAAAAAAAAAGCUUUUUGCUUUGGAAGUGUUUGCUUUACUAUGGUGGGAUCAGAGAUAUAGUGCAUUGAGUGUAUUUUAUAGAACUGGUAUAGUUUCUGGGUGCAGACUGCAUAUUUCACACUGUUGAGAUACUCAGUUUUUUAUGCUUGGUGUAUUUACUAACACACCACUUUCUAUUUUGUCUGUACUCCCAGGAGGGUUACCAGGAGUUCGGAUGGCAAAGAGGGCCCUGAGUUGCGUUGUUACUGAAAUUUUUAUAUUUACUUUGGAACAGAUGGCUUUUCUCUACUGCAUAGACAGGCAGAACUGCCAUAUGCUCAGUAGAACCAAAAUUUUCUGCUGGAAUGUAAACAAAAUGGUGGGACUUCUCUGCCCUUUAAUUAAUUAUUCCAAAUAAUAACCUCCUCCUAUUUUGGAUGUUUCCCCUUUGUAAAUAGCUUUGUAAAUAGGAUGUUAAACAGGAGUGCACAAAUGAGGAUGUCCUCCCUGAACAGGAAGACUUUGGUCAUGCCUGUGGAGAGUGUUUGGCCAUCUCAGUGCAAAACAAAUGUAGUAAUCUUCCACGUAAAUAAAAUGAUGCAAGUUCUGCAUCAAAAAAAAAAAAAAAAAAAAAAAAAAAAUCAAAAAAAAACUCCAUGUAAGAUUCAUUUAAAAAAUGAAGAAGAUUGAGAAUAUGUUUCUACCUAUGCGUGAGUGGCUCAGAGCCUUUGUGGACCAGAAAUGCCUUCCUGAACUGGGAUAUUGCCUUAAUGCUGUCCAAACAAGGGGCUGGCUCCAACUGGUCUGCUGAGAUCCCUCCUUCCCACAGCACCCUGCAGAAGAAAUUGCUUUGGAACAGCAUGAGAGUGGGUAAGUAGCACAUCAGCUGUGAUUCAGCACAUAGCUUACAAUGGCUUGGCCAAGAGAAAGAGAAGGACUGAAAAAAGUGAGGAGGUCAGACAUCUCCAAUACCUGAUGGUGAAAGACAGCAAGAUCUAAUUCCAAGAGACACCAUGGAAAACAAAAAUCCACUAAGAAAGUAUUCCUGUAAGUCCUGUGAAAUUUUGAAAUGUUUCAUAUUUUAUAUUUCAGUUUAAAUGUAGAGGAUUUUUCAUCCUGAUCUUUAAGUUGCUUAAGGAACAAAUCAAUUAAGUUUCUCUUCUUUCAGAUCACUGUUGGCAUUUUGAGAUUAACAAAGGUUAUACAACCACUCUGCAUUUGCUUCUUCCUGCAGUAAAGUGCCACAUAUAUAACACGUCAUUUUAAUGACCACAAAGUAAGAGCAUUAAAUAAGUACAAAGUUAGCUUCCUAGCAGUGUAUGCUCUAUCAGCCAUUAACAGAAAGGAAUAAAGUAUUACUAACAACGUGGAGGGUAUGAUAGGACCAUAGAAUCUGCAAAUACAAUUGAAAUAGUGAGGAUAUAAAAGAGAACUGUAUCUUUCAAACAGUAUCUUUUUUAUAGCUUUAUAUUUCAAAGUUAUUGGUACCUUUUCAAAUAUACAGUCUUAUUACUUUCGUCCUGCAGAAUUUUUUUGUUUUUGUUUUUUUGUUUUUUUUUUUGCAACUGAGAAACAAACUAGUGCAAGACUAAAGCACUGUGCAAAUCUGCCUUUUUUUUUUUUUUAGUCUGAGUAUUUAUACCCAGAAUUUAUCCAUACCCUUUGUAAAAUCCCCUUCGUUGGAUUUUUUUCCACCAUAGAUUUCUAGUUAUACAAGUUGUUCCUGCAAACUAAAAGGUAACCACUGCAUAAUACAGCAUAUAUGUAUCUAUAUAUAAUAUUUAUAUGUCCUUUUAAAACAAAAGAUGUAUGCUAUGGCCCAGACUCAGGUGUCUGUUACACCUGCGUAACAGCUAAGAAGUGAGCCUGCUGUGUGAGUGUGUACACUGCACAUGCACGUGCAGGUGUAUACACACACACAUUUUCAUUGUUAUACUCUCAUCCUGCAGUGCUGAAAGUCACUUCUUCCUUAUCAGCUCUACCCUAAAUCCUCAAACCUCGACAACUCAAUACAAGGCAUCAAACAACUAAACGAUGCUGCUUGCAGCACUGAAAUAAUGACACCAGUCAACCCCAGACCAAGAGUACUCCCGCCCCAACUCUACAGUUCAGGGGGAUACAGAGGGAAGGGAGGGAACGAGAGUGUUCAAGGGAGAAAAAUAAUAGAUAAAUAAACCAAUAUAAGGGAUGUGCAAAAGCAGUGUCAUGGCACGCUUACAGACUCUCUUUCACACACCCACACGCACACAAAGACAAAAAAAAAAAAAAAAAAAAAA